rnacentral:snoRNA from 2 species
CGUGCUAAUUUAGCCACAGUGGCAAUAACAACUCUACAAGUUUAGCCUGCUGCUAGAAAUUAGCUAAAAAAAAAGUUCAUAAUUUUAGGAACCAUUGAAAAAUACUCUUUAAGUUUUUCAUCGGGCCGUUUUUAUGAAAACAUGU